GAUGAACGCUGGCGGCGUGCCUAAUACAUGCAAGUCGAGCGAACAGACGAGGAGCUUGCUCCUCUGACGUUAGCGGCGGACGGGUGAGUAACACGUGGAUAACCUACCUAUAAGACUGGGAUAACUUCGGGAAACCGGAGCUAAUACCGGAUAAUAUAUUGAACCGCAUGGUUCAAUAGUGAAAGACGGUCUUGCUGUCACUUAUAGAUGGAUCCGCGCUGCAUUAGCUAGUUGGUAAGGUAACGGCUUACCAAGGCAACGAUGCGUAGCCGACCUGAGAGGGUGAUCGGCCACACUGGAACUGAGACACGGUCCAGACUCCUACGGGAGGCAGCAGUAGGGAAUCUUCCGCAAUGGGCGAAAGCCUGACGGAGCAACGCCGCGUGAGUGAUGAAGGUCUUCGGAUCGUAAAACUCUGUUAUUAGGGAAGAACAUAUGUGUAAGUAACUAUGCACAUCUUGACGGUACCUAAUCAGAAAGCCACGGCUAACUACGUG
rnacentral:rRNA from 1 species